GGUAGGGGCUGGAAGGGACCUCUGGAAAUCACCUAGUCCAAACCCCUACGAAAGCAGGUUCCCUACAAUAGGUUGCACAAGGAAGUGUCCUGGCGUGGUUAGACUGUCUGUGGAGAAGGAGACUCUACCACCUCUCUGGGCAGCCUGUUCAGUGCUCUGUCACCCUCACAGUAAAGAAGUUCUUCCUCAUGUUUGUAUGGCAUUUCCUUUUUUGUUUGUGCCCGCUGUCCAUUGUCCUGUUGCUGGGCAUGACUGAAAUGAGCCUGGCCCCAUCCAUUUGACUCGUGCCUCUUAGGUAUUCAUAAGCAUUGAUGAGAUCCCCUCUCAGCCUUCUCUUCUCCAGGCUGAACAGUUCCAGGUCUCUCAGUCUUUCCUUACAGGGGAUGUUCCAGGCCCCUCAUCAUCUCUGUGGUCCUCUGCUGUGCUCUCUCCAGAAGUUCCCUGUCUUUCUUGAACUGAGGAGCCCAGAACUGGACGCAGCAUCUCAGAUGUGACCUCACCAGAGCAGAGUAGAGGGAGAGGACCACCUUCCUCGACCUGCUGGCCACACUCUUUUUAAUGCACCCCAGGAUACUAUCGGCCUUCUUGGCCACAAGGGCACACUGCUGGCUCAUGGCAAACCUGUUGCCCACUGGGACACCCAGGUCCUUCUCUGCAGGGCUACUUUCUGGCAAGUCAGCCCCUGACUUGUACCAAUGCCUUAUGGCUGUUUCUCCCUACAUGUAGUACUCUACACUUGCCCUUGUGGAACCUCAUCAGAUUUCUCUUCUUACAACACUCCAGCUCUCCCAACUUGCCUUUCCUCUGUGCAAACAGGGAGAAUUUUGCAGUGGCUACUUCAAGAUUCACACCAGAGGACCCGAGAGCAGCAGGCUCAACCAUGCAGAAUACUUCAGCAGCACUUCGCAGAUAGCCUGUUGGACAAAGUACAUUGUAAACGGGGUGCUGUAGGACUGCGUGCAGCUGAUGGAUGCGAUGGGUCUAAUCUGGCUACCCCUUUAGUUCCCUGGUUCUUAUGGAGUAAUGCAAAAAAAGCCAUUUCACAGGGAAGUCACUCCUUUGUGCUUCAGCCUUCGCACCAGCCCUGGGAUUUAUUUUGUCUAACUUCAUCUUCUCAAGCUAAUGGUAUGUCUAGGUCCUGACAUCUUGUAUCUUGGGCCCAUUUCUAAUGCAUACUGUAGAUGUCCCUGGAAAACACAGUGAUACUUACAAGGAGUUACUUCAGUUUGCUGCAAAGAUACUGCUGCUGUGUAGUUUCCGUCUAGGUGUCCAGAUUUUUCAACUUCAGCUUUCUCAUUUUUGAGGGAACAGGAAGGUGCCUGGAUAUCCACAUCUAGUCCG
ensembl:lncRNA